rnacentral:lncRNA from 1 species
GGUCUCCGGCCGGAAUACGACGGAGGACGCUCAACAGCAAUCCGACGGCACAAUCCGCCACGUCAUCGGAGAAGGCGUCGCCAGCGUUGGUGACGGCGAUGCCGCGGCGCUUGCAUUCGGCGAGGUCGACGUGAUCGGUGCCGACGCUGGUGCAGACGAGAAGCUGGAGGGAAGGGAGGUGGGAGAGGAGCUCGGCGUCGAUCUUGAGCCUGCCGAUGUUGACGAAGGCUGUGACGGAGGCGGCGUGGCGGGAGAGGAAGAGGGGUAGUGGAUCCGGUGAAAGGUGAGCGUUGAGAAGACGGAAGUUGCGGCUGAGGUGGUCGUCCAUGUAAGCUAGAGUAGGUGGGCGGUGAACGAGGACGAGCGGAGAUUCUGAAGAUUCCUCCAUGUGACUUGAGAGGACAAUAUGUAUGGUCCCUCUGUUUUAUAGUACUCACCAAACUAUUAUUCGUCUGGUUAUGAUGGCAUGAUAAAGAGCACUCUCGUCCGUUACAUAUACUCUAAAGUUUAAUAUUUGAUAUUUAUUAUUUUUAUACAGAAAAAAAACUAAACAUUUUUUUUUUUUUUUUUUUUUUUCAAAAUUUUAANNNNNNNNNNNNNNNNNNNNNNNNNNNNNNNNNNNNNNNNNNNNNNNNNNNNNNNNNNNNNNNNNNNNNNNNNNNNNNNNNNNNNNNNNNNNNNNNNNNNAAAAUUUUUAUUUUUAUUUUUAUUUUUGUAUUUAUAUGGUUUUUUUAAAAAAAAGAAAAAAAAAAUUAUCCUCCCGCAACCGCCCGCAACCGCAAACGCUAGCUGGAACCAGCUUUUGAUUUUAAGAGGUUCGGAGCGGUUUGAAACGAUUUGUAGCGGUUUGUAUGAUUGUUUCGAAACGCUGUCAACCGCUACCAAUCGCAAAAGCUGCGUUUGCGGGUGAUAGCGGGAAAACCAAUCAAGCUCUAACAGGCUGUUAACGGUGUGUUACGCGCGUAGAAAUCGCACUAUGUGGGUCCCAUCACCGUAGCCUAUAUAUUCUCCACUCCUUCACUUCUCUGCUUCGUAACUCCCAACCGAAAAACAAAACAGAGCACAACUUAGACCAAAAAAAAAAAACAAACAAACAAAAAAGACUUUUUAUUCGAACAAAAUUCAAUCCCCUUGUACCUUAUCCUUACAAGAAUCUAACUUACAUCUGUUCUUAGAGUAUCCAGUGAGAUCGUUCGAAUUGUAACAGUAGUUUCACUCUCUAGAAGUCAAGGCGAAGUUUUUUUUUUUUUUUGCUUUAAAGUCAAGGCGGAGUUUUUUUUUUCUUUUUCUAAUGGAUAACAACGAUGAGAUUAUGCUGGCGGAGAUGACGCCGAAGAGGCGUGCGGGACGGAGAGUGUUCAAGGAGACACGUCACCCAGUUUACAGAGGAAUACGGCGGAGGAACGGCGACAAAUGGGUCUGCGAAGUCCGAGAGCCGAUUCACCAACGCCGCAUUUGGCUCGGGACUUAUCCUACUGCGGAGAUGGCGGCGCGUGCACACGACGUGGCGGCUUUGGCUCUACGCGGGAGAUCCGCGUGUUUGAAUUUCGCCGACUCCGCCUGGCGGCUUCCGGUGCCGGAAUCAACCGAUCCCGAUGUCAUCAGGAGAGUCGCGGCGGAAGCGGCGGAGAUGUUCAGGCCAACGGAAUAUGAGAGUGGAAUUACGGUUGUGCCCUCUUAUGGUGAUGAGGUUGAUUUAGGUUUUGGUUCUGGUUCGGGAUCGGAGGAGAGGAGUUUGUAUGGAUAUGUGGAACAAGAAGAAGAAGAAGUUUCCACGACGAUGAUGAGACUCGCGACGGAGCCGUUAAUGUCGCCGCCGAGAUCGUACAUGGAAGGCAUGACUUCUAAUGCUUACAUGGAAGAAGAGAUGUCUUCUUACCUAGAUAUGUCACUGUGGAGUUACAACUAUUAAGCGCGACGUAUACGCAUUUAAAUACUUUAAAUAUAUGUUAUCGUAUUUGUGUGUCAGUGUGUACAUGUGCAAUAGACCAAUAGUUUGUGAAAUGAAUUGUAAGAUUUUCCUAGUAUUAGAUCCUCUGUCUGAGUUAGAAGGUUCCUUGUGGGAUUGUAUUGUUCUUUUUUAUAAAAAUGGACGGGCUUUAUGAAUCCAUGUACAAAGUGUAAGCGCAAUUAGAGAUUAAGCCGAAACUUUAUUGAGAUGCUUAAACUCGACAGCCUAAUUAGAGAUUGACCAUCGAUUCAUAACAUUUUAACUUCGAAAUAUAUCUAUUUCUCGACGAUCACUACAGAGAUUGUAUAAUAUUUUUAAGAGGUCAUUGCAUUUUUUGGGCAGGAAAAAUAGUGUAUAUAAUAGACACUUUGCCACAACAAUACAAAAUUAAUAAGCUUUCCGGUGAAAUUACAAUUUUUAAAUGUACUAAGUUUAGAGUUAAUAAAUUAUCUAAUACCGAAAUUUAUGGAUAUCAAUGUCCUAAAAUAAUGUUUGAUGUAAAGUCUGAUUUCUCAAUUUCUUAUCAAGACUUCCACCAUAAAGUAACAUAGCAUUGUGGUAAAACAUCUGAAGUAUCAUAAGAUGCAAAAUUUAAAACCACCAUCGCCUUCAAUUACAAAAAAAAAAAUCCUAAGAGGCGUUGUCUUCCAUUCCAACUAGUUAUUUCUUCUCUCGGAAAAAAAAAUCUAAACUGAUCAUGAGAUCAUCUUUGGUUUUAACCAGAGUUACAAUUACCAGCUUGACAAUCGCUAGGAUGAAAUCGUCGCUAGGAUGAAAUCGUCUACGUAGACUACUGAUCCAAAUGUUACCAUCUAAAUUGAGAUCCAGAAAACCAAAAGUGUCAAUACAUCACUCCCACAAUCAUAAUUGUGUUUUGCAAUGGGAAUAGGUAUAAGAUAUAUAAUGUGAAAUUUGAUCUAAGCAAUAUAUUAAUUUUUUAUUACAUUGUUUAAAAAAAUCUUAAACCCUUGAUUAUCUGAUGUGGACAAAAACAAAUAUUUACUCCAACGUGACAUGAAGUUUGAACUGUCUCACUUGAAAAUAGAUCUUUCAAAUCUCAAGUCACAAUUUAGAGACUCAAACUAAACAAGAUUCUCGAGGAAUUUAAUAAUUUUGAUGAGGAAUUUAAUAAUUUAUCAAAAUUAUGGUUUUUUGUAAUGUAAAUGAUGGAAUCCAAAAUAAAUUACUGUAAAACAGUUAUGUACCAAUUUUAUAAGGCUUAAACUAUCAAAUAAUUUAGUUUUAUAGAUUAAUUUACCAAUAAAAAUAGAUAUAAUGGUUGUGAUCUUGCUCGAAUCAAAGACAAUGAGGUCUAAUUUAUUUUGUUUAACCAUUUUACUUACAUGCAAUUUUGAAAAUGUUAUUAAUAUUAUGUUGCCGAAAACCAAUGAUUUAUAUGUGUAUCUAAAGUAGAGUUUGUUGGAGAAUGAGUGGGAAACGAGGGAACAAGAGCAUGAACAAUAGCAUGCCAAAUUGCUGCACAAGACAAAAGCGAUGAAUAGAGUAGGCCGUUGGUCUAGUUUAAAAUUUCAAUUUCUUGGUUCGUUUCUCAUCUUAUAUUAUCAUAUUUUAGUAUAUUUUGUGAUGUUAGCAAGUAAAUUUUUUUUUUGACUAUCAUUUAGAUGGAAAAAUUAUUCGGUUAUUCAAUUUGAAACAUUAACAUUUAAUACAAAUGCAAAGAUAAUUUUUUUUUUUUUUACCAAAUGCAAAGAUAAAGUUUGGUUUGUCAUUAUUUCAAUUUAGUUAGCUUCCUUUAUUUUGGUUGGCAAUGUGUUCAUGCAAUCAUCAAAAUUGACACACACGAAUAGUUAGUGAUUUGGUACGAAUUAUGAAAUAUCAAAAAACAAGUCGUUCAGCGUCUGUAGUCCAACGGUUAGGAUAAUUGCCUUCCAAGCAAUAGACCCGGGUUCGACUCCCGGCAGACGCAGUAUUUUCCCUUUUUUAAACUAUUUUGACCUAAUCAUAAUUUAGCUAUAAUCUUUCGAAAGAAAUCAAAACCCAAAACAUCAGCUCACAGCUCCUUAUGCUAAGCGGUGUCGGUCCAUCAGCUCAAUUACAAGCCCAAAACAUUACGGUGGUGAUGGACCAGCCUCAUGUGGGUCAAGGGAUGCACGACAACCCUAUGAACGCCGUGUUCAUCCCUUCUCCAGUCCCUGUCGAAGUAUCACUCAUCGAGGUGGUUGGAAUUACCGGUGAAGGAACAUACGUUGAGGCUGCCGGUGGUGAGAAUUUUGGUGGUGGAGGUGGAAGUGGUUCAUCGGCUAGAGACUACUAUGCAAUGUUUUCUUCAAAGGCAACUUUAUUAUAGUCAAAUUUAAUGAAGUUAUCAUCAGCCCAACCUUUUCAAGGAGGCUUCAUUUUAGAGAAAGUAAUGGGCCCACUAUCCACGGGUCAUUUGGAGCUCCGAACCCAAACCUAAAUGAUAACCCGGUUGUGACCUUCAACUAUUUCCAACACCCGGACGACCUAGAACGAUGCGUUUGAGGGAUCCAAACCAUAGAGAGAGUUGUGCAAUCUAAGGCGUUUGCACGGUACAAGUAUGCGGAUAUGUCUUUUGCGUAUUUGCUAAACCAUACGGCAAGUACUCCAGUCAAUCUAAGGCCGCAGCGGUCCUAGAGCCUCGUUGCCUCCAUCAGCUGAAUUUUGCCAACAUACGGUUACAACGAUUUGGCAUUACCAUGGAGGAUGUGUUGUUGGUAGAGUCGUCGAUGGGGAUUAUAAGGUUAUUGGUAUGUCGACAGUUGGUUAUUGUCCUGGUACAAAUCCUCAAGCCACGGUUAUGAUGCUUGGUAGGUGAAGACAAAUCACUCUUGCUAUCAUAUACUAUAUCGAUUAUGUUUACAUUUUUUUCACUAACUGCUAAUUGUUUUUGGGUGACUUAAAAUAUGCAUGCAGGUAUAUGGGUGUGAAGAUCACGAGAGAGAGUGGCUCGCCAAUAAGUAGGGUUUUGGAUCGGAUCAGGGUUUUUGUGAAAACGUUACUACGUACAAAUGAAAUGAAUCAAGAUCUUAUUAAUCAAUGUUUCUAGUAGCUGCAUACAUGUUUUGGUGUUCCUUUUAUAUAAUACACGAUCUUAUUUUUCUCCAUUACCAUUAUGUUAACCUAAACAUACUGAAUUUUUUCUUGAGAAUCUUGCUUUUACCAUGAUAUUUCAUACAAAGAAAUACGAACCAACUAUGACCAUGAUGUUGAGAAAAAUAUCACUCUAUGAUCAUCAGUCUGUUGUUAUGGUAGAGGCGUUGAGGAUAUAUUCCACGAGCAUCAUUAGCUAUUCAUUCGUUAUGCCGUUGAUUACUUAAAAAGUAAAGCAAACUUUUAACAGCUUUUCCUAAUAGAAAAAUGCAAAGUGAAACGACAAUCGAAUAACUAUAUAUAUUAAUCUGGAAAAGAGGAAUUUACGUAUAUCAAUUUUAAUUCUCAUUAUUAAAAAUUAUGAGCAACUUAAGAAAAAAAAGUUAAGAAUAACAUAACAGAGCACAUUAACAAUACAAAAUAUGCAAGAAAAAAGAAGAAGUUCAGAUUAACAUAACAGAGCACAUAAACAACAAAUGGAUUACAAGCCAAAACAUAAAUCAACAACAAGAACACAAAAACAACUUUCACCAUAAACCCUACGAUAAUUUAGACCCGUUUAUUCGAUUUUCAAAAGCUUCCCAGUUGGAAUCUUGGUUCAAGAGCCAAGUCCAUUAUCAACCAUUGAUCUCUGUCUUCUUGUUUGGCUCGAACACAAACUUGACAAGAGCUUCCUUUAUAGACAACAUCUCCGGAAACUCCGUUUUCAACUUAGUGGCAUCAAGCUCAUUGUUACUCCUCGGAGCUACAAUCACUUUCGCCUGUUCUUCCAACGUGAAGUUCUUCCAAGUGAAACUCGGAUCAACAAACUCUCUGUACAUCUCUAGUAUCUCAUUGUGGCUCACCACCCCCGGAUUAGUGAAGUUCCAUAUCCCUGUCAGGUUCCUCUUCGCCAUCUCGAGAGAGAUAGGAAGGAGCUCAUCGAGAAUCGUCAUCGAGUUUGGGAUGUCCACAACUUUCUCAUACCGAGUUAUCUUGGUGAUGAAGUUUCUCGGGUUUGAGAGAUCAGAUGAGAUGGGCAUCCUUACACGGAGUGUGCAUACGUUCUCAUAGUUCUUGAGCAGUUCCUCUACCUAUUACAUAAAUAAACCAUGAUUAGGUUUAAUCCGGUUUAGAUUAAUUGUGAUUCGGUAUGAUUUUAUCAAUAUCAUUUAAAUUAAACCGGUGUAAAGUGAAAGAACUUUCAGACCAUAGCCUUUGUCUUGGAGUAGAACGAACCGGUGAAGUUAGGUGUGUCCUCUUCCUUAAACCCGAGACCCGACCCGAGAGGAUGACCCGAGUCGUACUCGAAUAUACAACCCGUGGCGUAGUUGAUCAGCACGAGGCCUCUCUCCCUGCAAACGUCGGCUAGAGUCAGAGUUCCGACGACGUUCGUACGGAUGGUCUCCACCUUGUGGGACUCGCACCAGUCUACGUUCGGUCGUCCGGUGACUCCCGCGGCGUUGAACACGUGGCUCGGCUUGACGGAAUCAAGAUCGGCGACGAGCGAGCGGCGAUCCUCGAGCCGGCCUGAGCCGUAAGUGUAAGAGAUCCCCUGAGCUUCGCAGAGCUUGCCGAGAAUACCGCCGAUCCAGCCUGUCCGGCCGUAGAUUAAGAAGUUGAGAGAUGACGAUGCGCCGUUUGCUUCUGCACCCAUUCUCUCCGUCGUGAUCGUAGAUUUCACCGGCGAAUAAUAAGAAGAGACUGUGGGAUCUCUCAUUUCUUUGAGUCGUUAUUUAUCCUGUUUUUUUAAGGACAAAACUUCAGUUUUGCCACCCCCAUAUUAUUUAUUUUACAAAUUAGCCCAUAACUUUACUUGUUAUACAAUAUAAUAUAUGUAUAUGUAUCCUAAUUGAACGAUUAUGUACUAUUUUAACCCAAUAAAAGACAACUAACUAACUAGCGGUAUUAUAUAUUCUAUAGAAUUACUCAUGAUUUGGGUGGGGGGAUGUAGUUUAGGUAAAACAUUCCAUGGAUUUUGUGUGUUUCUAUUAUUUGAUGAAACUACGUGACUAUAAUGGCAAAGUUUUGAAGUUGAGAUAGAGGAUUGGAAUUAAAUUUAAAUUAAUAUUUCAGUCAGACAAAGGAUCUGUCAAGGUAGUGGCGUGCGGAAUUAAUUAUAAUUAACACGAGUUGGUGAUUGGGAGUACGAAAAAUAAUUACGAAUAUUUUACUUUUGUUGAAAUCAACAACGUUUUUCAUGUGUUGUAAAAAUUUUAAAACACUGAAACCCCAUUGGUCUUCAUUUGGAACCUCACCAGUCACCAUCAUGGCCCUCACCACGACAAAUUAAACUAGUAGAAAACAAUUUCAUGUUCAAUCAUGUAUCCAAGUCAUAAUUUUACCUUGACUAACCGAUUAAUCUACGAAUAAAUGAAAUUAAUUCUAUUUUAUGAUAAUUCACCUCCUUCAUGACUCCUGUUCGUAUUAAUUUCACCCAACACAAAACAAUUUUUUUCUUAUAACAAGAUAUUUUAUGAUACACGAGAGAAGUGACCAAAAAAGAAAGUCAAAUGAACAAUAUAAACAUCGUUAAGGCUAGGACACACAUAAGACACACCAACACCAGUGUUACUGAGUCUAAUAACUAUUAAUAAAAAGUAUGAAAACGUGUUUAAUCUGAGAGGUUAAUGAAGUAAACACACGAGCAUUUGAGCUUGGAUUUGAAGGAGAAGGGGGCUGAGGGAGCGAGAGCUUGUUCCAUUUCAUCUUGGGUUGAUUGAUGAACAAUUGUUGAUUUGCUUAAGUUGAAGUCUUGCCUCAUUCACCGAUAUAUUCCGCUUUGUCAGGCGUUUUGUAAUUUACAUUCUUAGAACUCUUUUAUUUUUUAAAUUCUUAAUUUACGGAACGGGGAUGAGCAUUCAUGUCUCAGUACAUAUACUGCAGCUAGAUGAUUCAGCGAUCAAUGCGCUCUUUAGCUAGGUACGUAAAUUAGAAAAUCAUUGUGGCAAAUUAGUGUAACCAUUACAAAAAUUCAAUGCUCUAAUUUUUGUAAAAUUUCUACAUGCCAACUGUUAAAUGAUAUUAUUUUUAUGGGACUUUAUUUACACACUAAACUUUUUUAAAAAUCUAUGAAGUCCUGGCAAAAAUGUAAAAAAAAAACUAAAAAGGGAAAAAUGCGAUGAUUUAUCGGUAGACAUUUCUUUCUUCACACGCACAAACAAAAACAAAACAAAAUUACACAUCUGAUAACGAAAUGAAAGUCUCUUGAUCAAGUAGGGUUGACUUCAUCAUCAUGACUUUGAUUAUGAAGAGUUAUAUCACAAUUACAUACAUACGUUACACGUAUACAUUAGAUGUAGAACAUAAAGAUGGGCCAUCCACAACAAAGGCCAUCAAAGCUUCUUUAAAUCCCAAGAACAAAAAACAAAAGGAGAGGAGAGAACUCAUAAAAGAAAAAAUCCCGUUUAGGUUUUCAGCGGAAAUUGGUGUAACUCUUGUAAGUCAUACCGGCGUUCCAGUUAGACGGAGCAACGUUCCAUGCAUAGACGGUUUCACCGGUGGUGUAAGAAGUGAUCCGGAAAGAGAGAGACUGGCCGUAGAGAGAAGAAAAAGCUUGGUAAGAGGCCCCCCAGUUGUGGCUCAUGCUUAUCCAAUUCGUCCUGCUACCUUUCACGGCCAUGCUUUUGAUGUCUCCGGCGCCGCCGACAUUCAUGACAAAGAUGAGAAGCCAAUACGCAUUUCCUUGGAAUUGAAACCUCAUACCGCCACUCCUUUUGCAUGGGACUCUACAGACAUCAAAUAAGUCGCAUAAAAUAAAUAUUAGCUACACAAUUUUUGGAGUACUUAUAUCAAGUGUCGUCACUCGUCAUAUAUAGUAAGAUAUUGUAUAAGAAAGUAGGUCAAAACUGAAAUAUAAAUUUUCGAAAAUGAGAUAUACCUGCGGUAUGAAACAGGGAUGAUGCCAGCCUUCCAGUUAGCGAGUUUCAUGAAAGCCGGUUUAGCCAUAUCGAAAUGGGUUCUAGGAGGAUUGCACCAACCACCAUUGUUGGUGUCUUGGUACCAAUUGGGAGGGCAGAGGUUGGUGGCUGUGACCACCGUCGAUGGGUUUCCAUAGUAACAAUGUUUUGACUGCACACACAUUAUCUGGAAACACUGGCCGCAUGCAUAACCGUCUUUGAACAACGUCGUGCUUAGUGCCGCCGUGUUCAGGCCGUAACCGCUGUUAAACAGGUUUCCGUAUCCACAUGCACCACCUGCAUAUAAACGUAUUAUGUCAUUGACUAUAUGUAUGAAUUGUUGUUAUUAUCUUGGUAAUCAAGGAUUUAUACGAGGAAUAAAUUUUGAAAACAAAAAUUCUUUUGAGAAAACUUGUACAUAAGAAAAAUAAAAUAAAGAAAUUUAUGAAUAUCAAAACAUAUUUUGAUCUUGGUGAUUAUAUUGAAUAUACAUGUACAUGAUAGUGAAAUGUUUAUUUUACGUACCCAUGGUUUCACUACCGGUCUCGUCGCCAUAGAAAGUGGCAUGAGCGUAUCUCCACGGGCUCGGCCUGUAAUAUCCGGCGACAAACUCACCGGAGAUGGCGAAAACGACAAAGACUAUUGCCAAGAACUUUUUGAAGCUCCAAGAACUUGAGAUCGGACCCAUCUCUAGUUUCGUUUUCUUAGGGUUUGUUUGUUGACGAAGUAAUCGAAUUAGAGACAACCUUAUAUAGACUCUUUUUUAACAAUAGUGGUGGUGGCUACGUGAGGGUCAUGAUCCCUUUUCCGGUUUUUUUAUUGGAGACUUUUGUCAGUACUGAUUGCGAUUUGUUUCAUUUCACUGAAUGUUUGCAAUGUAUAUAUUAAACAAAAAUUAGAGAAAGCAAGUAAAAAUUCUUGUUUAAAUGAAGUUUUAGAAUAUAGUACAAGUUAACGUGCGAGCAGGUUCUUUCAGCGGUUCUUGUACCGACUUUAUCUAAUCUCGUCUAUCUAUAUACUAAUAGUGUAUACUAUAUUUAUUUAUUAUUAAAUAGUUAACUUUCUUUUAAAGAUUAGUUUUUCUUUUGUCAAUGUUGAUAUAACCGCAUACAUUAUAUAUUAUCGUUCCAAUGUUGCCAAAUAUAUAAAUACGUUAAUGAUAAGUUUAUUGUAAUGUCCUGAUUAAUGCUUAUACGAAUCGUCGACUAAAAUUUUCAUAUAUCCAUCGUGGGAGAGUUAUAUUUAAUGGUGUGGUAGGUGCUUAAUAUUUCUACGGGAUAGUGAAUUUGUAUAAGUAGCUAUAAUAUACAAAUAAGUUAGUCGAUUAAUAGCAUAUUGAUAGAGCUAAUGGAUGUAUAUUUUUCAAGCUAUAAAACGGUAACAUGUAAAUCCAUUGGUAUUGUAUCACAAUUGCCCAAGUUUUCUUCAUAAUCUUCAACAAAGCAAUACAUUUUAGAAAGUUAAUAAGAAUACUAUAGUCGGGGGUGAAAGGUCAAGUAACCCCUUAUGCCGUCCGUACGGUUAUCUCUAUGAAACUAAAAAUUUCACAUGUUGACCUUUAAUUUUUUUAAGGUCAAAUAAACUUAGUAUAUUCUUCUCAAAUUUCCUUUUAUACACCUAGAGAGGCAUUAAUAUUGGAAGAGAGAACAUGAAUUAAAAAUCCUUUUUUUUUUUUUGGUAGAUGGCAGGAGACGAUAGUCUCCUACUUUUUAUUCAAAAUCAAACUUGCGUUACAAGAAAAUCUGUCUAGCUCUAGCAAACCCAUGAAUAUCAUCUGACAAGAUAGAAGCAACAUGCUCCGGAGCAAACUCAAAGUAAUGUAAACCGUACGAUAAAGAAAAAGCAUAGUUAGCUAAUCCAUCUGCUAGACAAUUAGCCUCCCUAUACACGUGCGAAAUCUUGACUAACCAGUCUCUUGAUAUGAAGCCAUAGCACAAACGUACUAGGAAUGACAGAGGAUGAGAAUCCUGGAUACCUGUCGUAAGAAAACCCACCACACUCUCGGAAUCAACCUCCACCUCUAGUCGUCGGAUCCCCUUAUCCCAUGCUAUACAUAAGCCGUAAUAAACACCCCAUAACUCCGCCAAUGGGGCUGAGCAAAUACCAAUAUUGAUCGCAAAGCCUCCUCUCCACUCUCCAUAUUCAUCCCGCAUGGCCCCACCUGCUGUAGCCAGUCCCGGAUUCCCUUUAGAGGACCCGUCAGUAUUCAAUUUACACCAGCCAUUACCCGGUUUGCACCAUGCGAUCUGUCUCUCCACACGCGUACUAAUGGUCGAGCAGGGUCGCAUUUUCUUAUUUGCUAGUACCACCUCCUGAGUCUUAUCUUUAACAAACUGCACCCUAUCUCGACACUUUCCAGUUUCACCAAAGACAUACCCACACCUCCAUUUCCAACACCACCACACAGUCAACGCAAACAUUAUGGGCCAUUGAUCUCCAUUAGCCGACGUAUCGUUUGUGAGAUUCUCAUACAGCCAUUCUAAAAGUGGUUGAUUGAAGAACCGCUGUUGUUUUCUUAGGAUCACAAUUUUUCUCCAUAGUCCCAUUGCAGCAGGGCAAUCUCGAAGGACAUGAAUGAUUGUCUCAUCUCCAUUCUUGCACAGUUGGCACAUUCCAUUAUCACUUAAGUGUCUCCGCUUCCUCUCCAUGUUCGUCAUGAUAACUUGGUGCGCAACCAACCAUAAAAAAACUCUAACUCUUUCUGGUACCAUAACCCGCCAAACCCGACUGUAGAAAGCCUCCAUAUUUGGUCUCGGUGACUCGUCUAUUGUCAAGAGUGCAUACGCUGAUUUCACAGAGAAGAGACCAUUCUUACUUCCUCCCCAAGACAUCCUAUCCUUAGCCCCUGUGACAUCAUCGAUCACCACCGAAGCUAAACGUAAUCGGUUCUCCAUUGAUAUGUACGGUUCAAUUUGUUGUGCUAACCAACCUAUCCCAGUCUGCCAUAGGUCACAAGCUUUUGCUUCCAACAGUGCUUCCGGAAUCUCCACCAAACUCAAGCCAUGUAAGGGUUCAUGCAACAACCAAUUAUCCUUCCAAAACCGUACUCGGUGACCAUCUCCUAAUAUCCAGGAAGCUCCUGGAAUCACAACUGCUCGAAUUCCCAACACCAAGCUCCUCCACGUCGCCGACCAGCUCCCCUGAGGCACCAACCAUGCUGAUUCAUGUAUCUCACCUACACGAAACUUCUUACGUAAGAUUUGCACCCAUAGUCCAUCUUGUGUGUUCAACAGUCUCCAGCCGAGUUUAGCUAAGAGAGAAAUGUUCAUUUCUUUCGCUGAUCUUAUGCCAAGUCCCCCCUCUCUCUUUGGUUUACAGAUUCUCUCCCAAGACACCAAGUGUUGUUUUCUGAUCCCUUCACCACUCCCCCAGAUAAAAGACCGAGCAAUUUUAUCCAGUUGGAUCAAAGUCGACACCGGCAAUGCUAUCGAGCUCAUCGUGUGGACGGGAAUUGAUGAGAGAACAGAUUUAGUGAGAGUUAUCCUUCCAGCUAAGCUCAAAAAUCUCCUCUUCCAACCAGCCAAUUUAGAUGAAACCCUCUCAAUGACUGUCCCAAAAGUCUCUUUAUUAAUUCUCUUCUGCAAGACCGGCAUGCCCAAAUACUUUCCCAACUCCUUCGUGCCUUUGAUUCCGCUUUCAUCACUGAUCAAAUUAGCUAAAUCUCGAUGAACAUUCUCAGAAAAGAAAAUUAGAGAUUUCUCCAAGCUAACUUUCUGUCCUGAUGCUCCACAAAACCUCUCCAGCACCUUUCGUAUAACUCGGAUCUGUGAUACUGAAGCUUCUGCAAACAAGAUCAGAUCGUCCGCAAAGCAAAUAUGUGAUAAGGCUGGGCCACCUCUAGAUAACUUGAUUGGUUUCCACUCCUUAUUUGCGACAGAGAAUUCAAUUUGGUGGCAUAGUCUCUCCAUACAUAACACAAAGAGAUAUGGAGACAAGGGAUCUCCCUGUCUAAGGCCACGUUGAGGUGUAAACGCUUCUGUUCUCUCCCCAUUCCACAGUAGACUCAUACCUGGAUUCAUAACACACUCCAAUAUCCAUUUGAUCCAUAUAUGUGGUAACUUCGCUGCAUUCAGAGUAUCCUCUAAAAAGUCCCAUCUGAUACGAUCAUAAGCUUUUUCAAGAUCCAGCUUAAGUAACAUCCAGCCUUUUUUCCCUUUUUUCCUUCUCAUUGAGUGAACCGCUUCCUGUACUACCACAAUGUUAUCUGUGCUGAGUCUUCCCGGAAUAAAACUAGCUUGUGCUGGACCUAUUAGUUUUGGCAUUAGUGUCUUCAGUCGCAUCACCAUUGCCUUUGUUAUCGUCUUGAACAAGACAUUACAUAAACUAAUAGGCCGAAACUGCAUAAUUCUUUCUGGUUUGAGAACCUUUGGUAUGAGAACCACCAUUGCAUCAUUCAUGCCCUCCUGAAGGACACCGGAUUCAAAGAAACCUAGCCCACAUCGAGUUACUGAUUCUCCCACCACAUCCCAUGAUUCUUGGUAGAAGACAGGUUGAAAUCCAUCUGGCCCUGGUGCCUUAUAUUUACCCAUCGAUCUCACCGAAGCCUCCAUAUCCACUGCCGAGAAAGGCUUGUUUAAGCUCUCCAGUUCAUCACGCGUAAAGUCAGUAAAGCCAACCUGGGAUAGCUUCUCUGUAUCGAGAGAUAUAUCUUCAGUUGAAUACAGUCUCUUAUAGUAGUUCAUUGCUAGUUGCUCCAACUGUUCUGACUGGUCAAUCCAGUGGCCAUCAUCACCCUUCAGCAUCUCUAUUCUAUUCCUCUUUCUCCUCACAAUGGUACUCGUGUGAUAGUACGUUGUGUUUCUAUCACCAAGAACUAUCCAUUUCUCUCGUGAUUUUUGGUACCAGAGCACCUCCUCCUGUUCAAGGACAACAUCAAACUCUUUUUGUAAUGUCUCCUCCCUUGCCAGCAGACGAUCUGAUGGGUUUCUCUCCAAUUCCUCCUGAACUUCUUUUAUAUCCCCGAGCAGUUUCUCUUUUCGUUUGAUCACGUCUCCAAAUAUCUCUUUGUUCCAUUUCUUGAGUUUCUCCUUCAAAGACACCAGUGCUUCUGGAGUACUCAUCUCACUAUUCCAAGAUGUUGAUAGGAGCUCCUUAAAACCAUCAUGCUUAAGCCACGCAGCUUCGAAUCUAAACGGUCUCCUUUUCGGAUCUCCUUUCCGCUCUGGCUCCAUUUGUACAUACAUUGGUGCAUGGUCUGAAGCUAAAAAAGGAAGAUGCGUGACCACUGCCUCCUGCCAUCUCACGCGAGUCUGCGCACUACACAAAACUCUAUCAAGUCGCUUCGCCACAAAGUGCUGCGUAUCUUUACCUCUCCUCCAAGUAAAAGUAUUUCCUCUGAAUCCCAUAUCCACCAGAGCUAAAUCAUUAAUCCAAUCCCCAAACGCCAGAGAGUCUGGUGAAAGUCUACCAUUUCCUCCAGAUCGCUCAUCCAAUCUUAAAAUGGUGUAAAAAUCACCACCCACCAUAACCGGUUCAUCAAUACUCUCUAACACCCGCUUCAACUGACCCCACAGACCACUCCUUCGACUAACCGUAGGAGCCGCAUAGACAGCAAUAAUAUGUAUAGUCUCAGUCCCCAUUGUCACCCUCGCAUGAACAAACUGAUCCGAUGAUUCCAGCACCGUAAUCAUUCCUACUUGAUCUCUCCAUAAAAUCCAAAUGCCACCACUUUGACCAACGGCAUCUACACGAAAAGAGUUGUCAAACCCCAGGUUCUGGCAAAUCUUCAUCGCUUUGUCUCCACUCGCAUGAGUUUCGAACAAUGCCAGAAAAUCAGUUUGAUGCUUCUUCAGAAUAUACCUAAUAGACCGUCUGAAAUUAGGUUUAUUUGCCCCCCGGCAAUUCCAGAAUAAACAAUUCAUCAUCAUAAUUAUAAAAAUCUCCGAUAGAAUUCCCGGGGCACCCUGUUAUGCUAGGGAUCCCACUACCUCCUCCACCUGCACCGUCGUCAGUUCUUCCACCAUUUGCUUCUCUGUCUCACUUCUAAUAAUCUCCAUCGGAUUCUCUAACCCCUCAUCUCGCAGCUGAAGAAGUUUAGGCAUAACCCUGACCUCCACACUAUCUCUGAAAACGCCACCAGGUCUCCCUGCAUCGCUAUUCUCCACUCUCAGUCGUUUUCCUGAUGUCGACAGGUUAGUCUCUCCCUUGGUCGGCCCAAAAACCAAUCCUCGAACCGGCCUGUUAGUCGAUUUUUUGGGCCUUCCUUUUACUCCCUCCAUUAUUUUUUUAUUCCCAUUCCCUCCCUCUUUGUUUCCUCCAUUCAAAUUAAUACCUCCAUUACUACCGAAAACUAAGGAUUUCUUCUCUUGUAAGGUUCCCUUACCCUUAGCGUUCUGAAUGUUGACCUCCUGAUUCUCCUUAUCUCCCUCACCAGCGAUCAAUUCCUCACUCGGUUCCCCCGUAUUCGUAUCCGUACCAAGACUUCCGUACUUGUUUGAUAACACAAGAUGCUCCGGUUCCUUAAUCUGUUCUGUUCCUCGGCCAUUUCUAUCAACCUCCUCAUGUAGUUCCCUUGUCCUGGCAGUCGCCGGCCGAGGUAACGGAGGAGCUACUCUUCUCGAUCCCCUUGCCUUAAUGAAACCCUCCUCCUGCUCUGGUAGUCCUUGUUUGGACGCGACCUCAACAGGUACUGACCUCUCCUUCUGUAUUAGUAGAGCUGCCGCUCGCUCCGCAAUCGUUUUUGGGCAGCUAUGUACCAAGUGUCCAUAGAUACCACACUUUGAACAGAUCUCCGAUAGUCCCUCAUACGCUACAAAGUAUCUCUCACCAUUAAUCAACACUGUUCCUUUCAAAGGUUUUGCUAGAUUAACCUCCACACAAAUUCUCGCAAAACGAGCCCUUUCGAAGUUCAAUGUAGUUUGAUCCACACGAAUCGGCUUGCCCAACCCCUUAGCAAUUCCCAUAAGGAUCGAUCGGUGGUAAAAAUUCACUGGAAUAUUUGUUAAUCUGAUCCAGACUGGUGUUGUAACGAUAUCGUCUCUUAACGGAUCAAACUCCGGUGACCAGGCUCUCACCAUGAGAUAACUUCCGAAAGCCCUCCAUGGUCCUCCUGUUAACGCCUCCAGAUAUUCAUCCUCCUUUUCAAACCGGACCAUGAAGAACUGUCGAGGUAGGUCCAUCACAUACAUCGAUCCCUUCGGACUCCAUAAUUCCCUUAGCUUCCUACUCAAGGCAGAGAUCGGAACAUUCCUUCCCAAAACCCUAACAAUCAUACACUGCUUCCACAUCCCGUUCAUUGCUUCAAGUACCUCGUUCUCAAUCGUGAUCGAUGGUUCUCCAUCUUCUCCAUUCGGAAAAUCUACUCUGAGCCUUCUCGACACAAACACAUCAUCAAUCAAAGCCUCUGGAACCGGCAUACCUCCUGCCGUCGUACCCGCCGCCUUCGCUGCCCAUGUGGUCACCCUAUCAGGCGGGUCUCCUGGCGGUCUCGAUCUCUCCCCCACAUCCAUCAUGGUUGCAUCCUGAUCCUCCGAAGUCAAAGCCCUAGUGUCGUUUCUCGCCAAAACCCUAGUCUCGCCGCUCAUCGUUUUUUUUAUUUUCCUUCUAGUUGUCCCCAGAUCAAUAUGAAUUAAAAAUCCUAGUGCAGUCAAAAGCCCUCUCGAAUAUUAUUGACAUAUUCAGUUUAACUUGUAUCUAUUUUAAAUUCGUAAACUGUUAUUCGUUGUAAUGAUUUUUGCCAAUUCAACGGUAACCAUGUUAGUAAUUUAAAACAAAACUGGAAUUGCAAUUUCUGACAAGUUUUUUUACAUAUCAAGUUUACGUCAUAAUAGCAACUCAAAUUUCGAGGCCGUGGAAUGGGGAUGGAUAUAAUACGCAACAGAGGCGGGACAUUACAAGAAUGUGGGAUGGACGAACUCCAAAUCUGUUGGAAUGUCGAGAAGUUGGAUCCUCCGCAUUCAUAUGGACCUUAUAAUCAUGUUGGUCUCUAGGAUACUCUCAAGUGGAGUUUGAUCGAUGACAAUCAAAUCAUUAAUUGGGUUCUCAAUGAUCAACUUGAGGCAACAUCCCUACAUAUAUGUCCGAUUGAGAACUGGUCACGGAUGUUUACGUCUAUUAUAAUUAGAUUUCUUACAUCACACAACCAAUGUCCCGAUACUUUAGCUAGGAAUUCUCUACAAACACCAGUACUGUGUGGUUCUUAUUUCACUGUUGUCUUAGUAUUCUUAAGGAGCCUGUAAUUAUCGAAAACUAAUCCUUAAUGAAAUCAAAGUUUAGUUGGCAGCAUACAAUAUAGAAACUCAAAACGUAUAUUAGGAAUAAGUAUUGUGGAAAAUCACUAGUUAGUAACCAUGUUGUGAUAACAAGUAGUACCAAUACUACCGCCAUGUAAGAGAGGGGGUUUCACAGGACGGACAUUGGUCUGAAAUUUGUUUGUAUAAAUAAUCAUUAGAAUAACUUGAGAAGAAGUUUAGUUUAAAAAAAAAAAAAAAAAAAAAAAAAAAAAAAACUUGAGAAGAAGUUUAAUUUCUUGACAGAUCACUCCCAUAAUUACACAUUAGCAUCUUAGUUUUAAUUUUCUUUCUUGACUAUUCCCAUAAUAUAUAUAGGGGAUUCACUGAUUAAUAUUAUAUAAAUACACUUUCGUUUUCUUAAUCAUAUCGUUCAACAACUAAUGAUAGAUUGAUCAUUAGCCUUCUUUGAUCAAACCGGACGAUCUCUCAACCCAAUCGAACCGGGGAAACCAAAGGCUGGUUCGAGAAAAACGCCUUCAAGUUAGCUAUCGCAACCUCGGCAACACUUUCCAAAGCCCCAGGCGUGGCCACAGCAGCAUGCGGAGACAAUACAACAUUGUCCAUACCAAACAACUCCUCAGGAACUUGCGGUUCUUUCUCAAACACAUCUAAACCGGCACCACCAAUCACACCUUCCACCAGACACUUCACCAUCUCCUCCUCAUCAAUCAGCCCUCCCCUUCCCACAUUAAUGAUAACCCCUUCCUUCCCAAGCGACUCCAUCACUUCUCUGUUCACAACGUGCCUCGUUUGAUCCGUCAGAGAGCAGCAGAGCACGAGGACAUCGUUGUCUGCUGCCAAGGAGAGAACGUCGGAGUAGUAACGGUAAGGGAUGCUCUGUUUCUGAGUUCUCGAGUUGUAAGAGAUGAUGCAUCCAAAGGGUUCGAGUCUUUUGGCGAUACGGGACCCGAUGCUCCCUAAUCCAAUUAUCCCAACUCGCUUUCCACUUACCUGCAACAACAACACAGAUUCAUUAAAAUAAAAUAAAUAAUAUAUAAAAAACACACACACAGAUUCAUAAAACAGAACCAGAUUCAUAAGAUAGUUCUCGUCUUUAUCUACAGAUUCUCUGUACCCCACAACAAUGUAACGCUUUGUCUGCAGAAUCACGAGCCCCACCGUCUAUAAUUCACUUUAAAGUUCUCCAAAAAAAAUUCAAGAAUUCUUUUUUUUUUUGUUCAUUAAAAAAAAAAAAAUCAAGAAAAGUCAAUUCACUUUCAAGAAACAGAGAGAUAGUUAUGUUUUUGAGAAUAAACCUUGAUGCCUAGCUGGAACUGCCCCGGUUUCGACCAGUUACCAGACCGGACGUAACGGUCUCCGGCCGGAAUACGACGGAGGACGCUCAACAGCAAUCCGACGGCACAAUCCGCCACGUCAUCGGAGAAGGCGUCGCCAGCGUUGGUGACGGCGAUGCCGCGGCGCUUGCAUUCGGCGAGGUCGACGUGAUCGGUGCCGACGCUGGUGCAGACGAGAAGCUGGAGGGAAGGGAGGUGGGAGAGGAGCUCGGCGUCUAUCUUGAGCCUGCCGAUGUUGACGAAGGCUGUGACGGAGGCGGCGUGGCGGGAGAGGAAGACGGGUAGUGGAUCCGGUGAAAGGUGAGCGUUGAGAAGACGGAAGUUGCGGCUGAGGUGGUCGUCCAUGUAAGCUAGAGUAGGUGGGCGGUGAACGAGGACGAGCGGAGAUUCUGAAGAUUCCUC